GACGAACCACCCAAACGUUAUUCGGAAUUACUGGGCUUAAAGAGUGCGUAGGCGGCCUUGUAAGUAGGGUGUGAAAUCCCACAGCUCAACUGUGGAACUGCGCUCUAAACUACAUGGCUAGAGGGAUAUAGAGGUGAGCGGAACUGAUGGUGGAGCGGUGAAAUGCGUUGAUAUCAUCAGGAACACCGGAGGCGAAGGCGGCUCACUGGGUAUCUUCUGACGCUGAGGUACGAAAGCUAGGGGAGCGAAC
rnacentral:rRNA from 1 species